GGGGCUGUAGCUCAGUGGUCGAGUGCCUACCUCCCACGUGUGAGGCACUGGGUUCAAUCCUCAGCACCCCCG
rnacentral:tRNA from 1 species